GAGCCGUGAGGAGAUUCUCGCACAUCCUGUGGUUGAUGUUCAAUCACACUCAUCUGAUCUGACGGAUGACAUCUCGUGCAUCUGAGCUC